ensembl:lncRNA
CCUUGAUCUUCUUGAAGUCCACGGGCUUGCGGAUGAGCUCGUAGUACUCGGGGAGCUCCUUGCGGGACGGCAGCUGGAUGAAAACCUCGCUGAGCUGGCGCCCGCUGCUGCUGCGGGGGGACACGGGCGUCAGCGCGGCCUUCGUCGCCAGCAUCGUCAUCAUCGUCAUCGUCAUCGUCAUCAUCGUCACCAGCAUCGUCAUCAUCAUCGUCACCAUCAUCGUCAUCGUCACCAGCAUCAUCGUCAUCAUCGUCAUCAUCGUCAUCAUCAUUGUCGUCAUUGUCGUCAUCAUCAUCUCAUUAUCAUCAUCGUCACCAUCAUCAUCGUCAGCAUCAUCGUCAUCAUCAGCAUCAUCAUCAUCGUCAUUGUCACCGUCACCAUAAUCAUCAUUGUCAUCAUCACAGUCAUCAUCACCAUCAUCAUCAUCGUCAUCAUCAUCUCAUUAUCAUCAUUGUCACCAUCAUCAUCAUCAUCGUCAUCAUCAUCAUCACCACAUUGUCAUCAUUGUCAUCGUCAUCAUUGUCCUCAUCACCAUCAUCAUCAUAAUCAUCAUCAUCGUCAUCAUCAUCUCAUUAUCAUCACCACAUUGUCCCCAUCCUCAUCAUCAUCAUCUCAUCUCCAUCAUCGUCAUCAUCUCAUCAUUAUCAUCAUCAUCACCGUCAUACUCAUCACUGUCAUCAUCAUCAUUGUCAUCAUCUCCAUCAUCAUCAUCGUCAUUGUCAUCGUCACCGUCAUCAUCGUCAUCACACUGUCAUCCUCAUCAUCAUCAUCAUCAUCUCAUUAUCAUCAUCACAUUGUCCUCCUCCUCCUCAUCAUCUUCAUCAUCAGUAUCUCAUUAUCAUCAUCAUCAUCAUCAUCAUCAUCACCAUCAUCAUCAUCACCUUCAUCCCAUGGAUCCCACCCCAGAUCCCAUCCCAAUCCUCUCACAUCCACCUUGUGUCCCAGGAACCUGCAGGAACCGCCCAUCCCGACGUGUCCUCCUCACCUGUCCUUGUACUUGAUGACAACCAGAACCUCCAGAACCUCCAGGAACCUUCAGACCCACUAAGAACCUCCAGGAACCCCUAAGAACCCCCAGGAACCUUCAGGAACCGCCCAUCCCGACGUGUCCUCCUCACCUGUCCUUGUAGUUGAUGACAACCAGGAAUCUCCAGAACCUCCAGGAACCUCCAGAUCCACCAGGAACCCCCAGGAACCUGCAGGAACCGCCCAUCCCGACGUGUCCUCCUCACCUGUCCUUGUACUUGAUGACGGCGUCCACGAUCUUGCGCAUCUUGCGGGUCAGGGGCGGUGGGUUCGGGGACAACUUCUCGGCCGGGGGUCGCCCUCGUUUCUUCUGCUUCCGGAUCUCCUCGUCCUUGUCGCGGCUCCGGGCGCCCGCCGGGGGUCCCGGGGGUCCCUCGGGCUCCCGCUUGCGCUUGCGAGAGGACUUCUUCUGGCGGACCUCCUCCUCGAUCUCCUCCAGGGUGCCCUCCUCGAUGGCCUGGUGGGGAACCAAGGGGAUUUAGGAUCUACAGGAGUUUGGGAUCUACAGGGGUUUGGGAUCAUCUCAGUCCAGAGGAUUUGGGUCUCCUUGGGCCUGGAGAUCCUUGGGAUUGGAGAACCUUGGGAUUGGAGAACCUUGGGCCUGGAGAA